UGGACUUGGGUCCCUGGGAAGGCUCUGAGCCACUGAGUCUUGCUUGGUCCAAGGUGCAGAAGUGAGACAUAAGAUCAGAUGCUUCCAGCAGGCAGACAGACUUGGCAUUUUGUUGUUUGAUUGUUCGUGCUGACUUAGGAGAGAUUAAACCCCGAGCUGUGCAAGGAUGAAGCCGGGUUGCCAUAUGGGAAGCAUCUGCCUCAACAUGCUUAUCUGUCCUAGGAGCAUAAUAAUUGCAUCCAACCUGUAAUCAGGGACAGCGUCACUGGUGGAACAGCACCAAGCCAAGCCUCUUCUCUGGCACAGACACUCUGCUGUGCCGUCAGCCUGCUCUGCCCUCAAUGGAAGGUGUGGGUAAUUAAGGUGCGGUGCCCUGGGGUCAGUUUGGAGAUGUGACUAUUUGCUCAUACGCCUCAGGUAGCCCUCUCCUUUUCUGCCCUGGCAGCCUUGGAAGACACCGUUCCAGAUGACCGCACAGCUCGAGAGAGUUUUCUGUUUGACCCUCCCUGCACUGCCUCUGCACCGAGAAUAAAGUUGCAGAGGUUUAAGCUUCA